ACAGGAAAGGUGUCCACGUCACUUUAAAAAUCAACCAAUAAUGAAGUUUCAUUUUGCCACGUCAGUCUGCUGUUAGUCAACACAAAAUUUUCGCAGGCCAACUUAGUUAUGGGCUUCUGAUUUUCUGUGUUGUCGUGGCUCAUCAUUAUAGCCCAAAAUACAUAUCAUUAUUAUUCAAAAUACGGGCAAAAUUAAUUAAUCACAGCCACCGUUUACAACCUUUUCAGAUUUCUCUACUGUAAAGAUUCUGAUUUAAUUGACAUAAAGUUUACCUAGCCAUCUGUUACCUCUUCUUCAUCUUCUGCCGUUUAGAGUAUGCUCAAACUUCUACAUGUCAAUCCAUUUUCCAACUUCUCUUUGAUACAUAUAUAUAUAUAGACUCCAAAUCCUUGAACCAUCGCUAUGGUGGCCCUAAAACGCUCCAAAUCGUCGAUCUCUGACUGUUUACUUCGACAAAGUCGCCGCCUGUCAAGUUGAUUCACUUUUGAGAAGCCCAUAUCCCGCUAAAGUCGGGAUGCUAAUCGGCCUUCACCUGCUUCUGAUCGAAGAAUAGGUAUGACCUAAUCUUCUCAAACCCCUCAAUUUGAUAGUGCCAGUUUAUGUAACCUAACAUAUAUCACACAUCCACAUGGCUCCAUUGUUCUGAAGCCGCUAUGAAGAUUUUCUGAAGCGUGUCUCCUCCUACAGUUCUUUAGGGAAUCCACACAUUGCUUUUGAACCAGUCAAUCGGAAUCGAAAUGGGUGUUUCAGAAAUGCAUUUGGAGUAACGGCGAGUGCGGCGUCUUCUUCGUUAGUCUCUACGAUCUGCGCGACGGCGAGAAGAGAUUGCUGACGUUUCGGCUGAACACCGGGGCGUGCGAUCGGAUUUCGGCGGUUACGCUUCAGAGAGAGUUUAUGAGAGAGACGACGGUUGCGGAUGGAUGUUGCGACGAACACGUGGCGAAGGAUGUGGGGUUAGGUAAGGCGAUAGAGGAGAUGAUUCCGAGUGGGGAAGGGGAUAAACUGUUUUGGGCGCAUUGGAUGGACGUGCUGGGUUACUCGCUGAAUGCAUUCCGGUUCUCGAAUUUGAGUUUCGUGGAUGGACGCUGAAGACCCGAACCGGAGAUCUCAGGUGGUAAGGAUGAAACUGGAAAAAGAUCAGACUCUUAAACUUGUGGCUGUAAGUGUCUCUCCUUAUUCCAGCAACUUCUAUAGUUGUGUGCGCAGAUUUGCUUACCAUUAUUGCUUAUUAAGCUAGAUUAUAUACUUUACUAUUAAUUUAUUUAAAUAUUUAAUAUUAUAUUGAAAUGAUAAUCUUUUCUGAUAGAUAGUGGUUAUAUAUGAACACUUAUCUCUGCAAUCAAACAGUGUUAUCUAAAUUGUUUGUUAAAUGAUGAAUGGACAAAAUAAGUCCCAAGGCGUUUUCAUAUUUGAUGACAAGGGGUCCGGCUACAGAAGUAAGCUUCAGCUUAGGAACUAAGGAAACCAAAGUUGUGUUUUGUAAUUAUACUAUGUUUUUGGAAUUAUGUUCAUUGGCGUAAGUUGCCGUUAGUCGGUAAGAUUGUACUUGCUUUUUAACCUUUUCCUUAGUGAUUUUCAAAAUUGGUAAAGACCUAUUUAAGUU